AAAUGAAAACAAAAUGCCACAGAGAAGCAAACAGAGAAGUCGUCACUCUCCAGUUUCAGUAGUUCACCAAAUAGCCCUGUAUGUAAUGGCAACGAAAAACAUGUCCUCACAGCAAGUAUAAUGCAUCUGAAUGGUGUGACAUGUUUGUGUGUCUGUUUGACGCCAGUUUGACUUGUUAACAUAACACAUUAAUCCCCUUUCUUGCUGUUUAUGUGUCUGUUACUUAGUUUGGCGAACCGUUAAAACUGGAAUCCAGCUGUAACACAUUUAGAGGAAACACAGAACCACUCUGAAACAAGAUCACGUUGUCUUGUCUUUGUCAAGUAUCAAAUUAAUGUGAAGAGUUUUAUUUAAUCUAGUAAACACAUCAUGUUUUAACAUCG